GAUGAACGCUGGCGGCGUGCCUAAUACAUGCAAGUCGAGCGAACAGACGAGGAGCUUGCUCCUCUGACGUUAGCGGCGGACGGGUGAGUAACACGUGGAUAACCUACCUAUAAGACUGGGAUAACUUCGGAAAACCGGAGCUAAUACCGGAUAAUAUAUUGAACCGCAUGGUUCAAUAGUGAAAGACGGUUUUGCUGUCACUUAUAGAUGGAUCCGCGCCGCAUUAGCUAGUUGGUAAGGUAACGGCUUACCAAGGCAACGAUGCGUAGCCGACCUGAGAGGGUGAUCGGCCACACUGGAACUGAGACACGGUCCAGACUCCUACGGGAGGCAGCAGUAGGGAAUCUUCCGCAAUGGGCGAAAGCCUGACGGAGCAACGCCGCGUGAGUGAUGAAGGUCUUCGGAUCGUAAAACUCUGUUAUUAGGGAAGAACAAAUGUGUAAGUAACUAUGCACGUCUUGACGGUACCUAAUCAGAAAGCCACGGCUAACUACGCG
rnacentral:rRNA from 1 species